rnacentral:rRNA from 1 species
GGGCACCACCAGGAGUGGAGCCUGCGGCUUAAUUUGACUCAACACGGGAAAACUCACCCGGCCCGGACACUAGGAGGAUUGACAGACUGACUAGCUCUUUCUUGAUUCAGUGGGUGGGGGUGCAUGGCCGUUCUUAGUUGGUGGAGCGAUUUGUCUGGUUAAUUCCAAUAACAAACGAAACUCUAGCCUACUAGUUAGCCGGCCCGGUCGUUAUGCGCCCGGGCAGCGAGCUUCUUCAAGGGACAGACGGCGAGUAAGCCGUACGAGAUAGAGCAAUAACAGGUCUGUGAUGCCCUUAGAUGUCCGGGGCCGCACGCGCGCUACACUGAAGUGAUCAGCACGCUAGCAAGCCCGCUCCGAGAGGAGCGGGUAACCGUUUGAACCCCCUUCAUGAUAGGGAUUGAGCUUUGUAACUAUUGCUCAUGAAAUUCGAAUUCCCAGCGGCGUGAGUCAUUACCUUACGCCGAUUACUGUCCCUGCCCUUUGUACACACCGCCCGUCUACUACUACCGAUUGAAU